rnacentral:rRNA from 1 species
UUGAAAACUCCCAAACCAUUGUGAACAUACCUUCAACGUUGCUUCGGCGGGUUGGCCCCGGUCUCCGGGGUCCCCGGCCCUAACGGGCGCCCGCCGGAGGUACCUAACUCUUGAACUUUUAUGGCCUCUCUGAGUCUUUGUACUUAAUAAGUCAAAACUUUCAACAACGGAUCUCUUGGUUCUGGCAUCGAUGAAGAACGCAGCGAAAUGCGAUAAGUAAUGUGAAUUGCAGAAUUCAGUGAAUCAUCGAAUCUUUGAACGCACAUUGCGCCCGCCAGUAUUCUGGCGGGCAUGCCUGUUCGAGCGUCAUUUCAACCAUCAAGCCCCCGGCUUGUGUUGGGGACCUGCGGCUGCCGCAGGCCCUGAAAACCAGUGGCGGGCUCGCUAGUCACUCCGAGCGUAGUAAUACAUCUCGCUCAGGGCGUGCUGCGGGUUCCGGCCGUUAAAAGCCUUAUUUACCCAAGGUUGACCUCGGAUCAGGUAGGAAGACCCGCU